CCUACGGGUGGCAGCAGUGAGGAAUAUUGGUCAAUGGGCGCUAGCCUGAACCAGCCAAGUAGCGUGAAGGAUGACUGCCCUAUGGGUUGUAAACUUCUUUUAUAUAGGAAUAAAGUGCAGCAUGUGUACCUUUUUGCAUGUACCUUAUGAAUAAGGAUCGGCUAACUCCGUGCCAGCAGCCGCGGUAAUACGGAGGAUCCGAGCGUUAUCCGGAUUUAUUGGGUUUAAAGGGAGCGUAGGUGGGUUGUUAAGUCAGUUGUGAAAGUUUGCGGCUCAACCGUAAAAAUGCAGUUGAUACUGGCAGCCUUGAGUACAGUAGAGGUAGGCGGAAUUCGUGGUGUAGCGGUGAAAUGCUUAGAUAUCACGAAGAACUCCGAUUGCGAAGGCAGCGUGCUGGACUGUAACUGACGCUGAUGCUCGAAAGUGUGGGUAGCAAACAGGAUUAGAUACCCGAGUAGUC
rnacentral:rRNA from 1 species